AGUGUUCUCUUCGUCCCCCUCCCCCAAACUGAGGAUUGGGCAAUACCACAGAACCUCAGGAAAGGGGGGAAGAGCGAGCUUCGGCCCCACUAAUGGGGGAGUGGGCGGAGGCUGGAUUUCCCACCUCGGCUGCACCUGGGCACUGGAGGCUGAAGAGGAAACAUGCCCCCUAGCUUCGGUACUCUGACACCUUCUCUUGCACUUGCGGAUGAUGAACUGGAAUAACGAUGAAAGAAAGCACAUCCGAUCUCAACAUUCACGUCCUGCCCUAUAACCGAUUAAUUAAUUGAUCCCCAGCUAGACUAGGUGUUACAAUCCAAAAUACAUAGUUGUGAUCAUUUAUAAGUGUUGGAGAAAUCAGCAUGUUAAAACAACUGUUGAUGAUAGCUGUUGGAGUAAAGUUGCAGUGGAAGCUAUGGCUGCAAAAUCGUUAAAAUCUUCAAGGUGAACUGGCACAAAGGUUAAUCUCAAGAUGCCGCUAGUGAAAAGAAACAUCGAUCCUAGGCACUUGUGCCACACAGCACUGCCUAGAGGCAUUAAGAAUGAACUGGAAUGUGUAACCAAUAUUUCCUUGGCAAAUAUAAUUAGACAACUAAGUAGCCUAAGUAAAUAUGCUGAAGAUAUAUUUGGAGAAUUAUUCAAUGAAGCACAUAGUUUUUCCUUCAGAGUCAACUCAUUGCAAGAACGUGUGGACCGUUUAUCUGUUAGUGUUACACAGCUUGAUCCAAAGGAAGAAGAAU
rnacentral:lncRNA from 1 species